UACGGAGGGUGCAAGCGUUAUCCGGAUUCACUGGGUUUAAAGGGUGCGUAGGAGGGCAGGUAAGUCAGUGGUGAAAUCCCCGAGCUUAACUUGGGAACUGCCGUUGAUACUAUCUGUCUUGAAUAUUGUGGAGGUGAGCGGAAUAUGUCAUGUAGCGGUGAAAUGCUUAGAUAUGACAUAGAACACCAAUUGCGAAGGCAGCUUACUACACAGUUAUUGACACUGAGGCACGAAAGCGUGGGGAUCAAACAGG
rnacentral:rRNA from 1 species